rnacentral:misc_RNA from 1 species
UCCGAGUCGACCCCGGCAGUCUCCCAUGAGUCCCCACCAUCACGUGCUGGCAACAUGGAACGAGGGUUGCGCUCGUUGCGGGACUUAACCCAACAUCUCACGACACGAGCUGACGACAACCAUGCACCACCUGUGAACCAGCCCCGAAGGGAAAGACUAUUUCUAGCCCGAUCCAGUCCAUGUCAAGCCUUGGUAAGGUUCUUCGCGUUGCAUCGAAUUAAUCCGCAUGCUCCGCCGCUUGUGCGGGCCCCCGUCAAUUCCUUUGAGUUUUAGCCUUGCGGCCGUACUCCCCAGGCGGGGCACUUAAUGCGUUAGCUACGACGCGGAGAACGUGGAAUGUCCCCCACAUCUAGUGCCCAACGUUUACGGCAUGGACUAC